UGGAAGGUGACCCGCCUAUAGAACUUGAGG
rnacentral:piRNA from 1 species